rnacentral:rRNA from 4 species
UAAUUGCGCGUCAACUUGUGAACUGCAGGACACAUGAACAUUGAUAUUUCGAACGCACAUUGCGGUCUUGGAAUACUAUUUCCAGACCACGCCUGCCUGAGGGUCGUG